GACGAACGCUGGCGGCGUGCUUAACACAUGCAAGUCGAACGGAAAGACCCUGCUUUUGUUGCGUGCUCGAGUGGCGAACGGGUGAGAAAAACGCGUGUAUCCUGCCCUUGACUUUGGGAUAUCAUCAGGAAACACGGGCUCUUACCGGAUAGGAGCUCCUGCUCCACGUUGGGCGUUGGAAAAUUUCGGCGGUUGGGGAUGGACUCGCGGCUUAUCAGCUUGUUGGUGGGGUAGUGGCUUACCAAGCCUUCGACGGGUAGCCGGCCUGAGAGGGUGACCAGCCACAAGGGGACUGAGAUACGGCCCAGACGCCUACGGGAGGCAGCAGGGGGGAGUAUUGCACAAUGGGCGGAAGUCUGAUGCAGCGACGCCGGGUGCGUGAUGACGUCCUUCGGGGUGUAAACCGCUUUCGCCUGUGACGAAGCGUUAGUGACGGUAAUGGGUCAAGAAGCACCGGCUAACUACGUG
rnacentral:rRNA from 1 species